UACGUAGGGUGCGAGCGUUGUCCGGAAUUAUUGGGCGUAAAGAGCUCGUAGGCGGUGUGUCACGUCGGCCGUGAAAACCUGCAGCUUAACUGUGGGCGUGCGGUCGAUACGGGCAUCACUGGAGUUCGGCAGGGGAGACUGGAAUCCCUGGUGUAGCGGUGAAAUGCGCAGAUAUCGGGAAGAACACCCAUGGCGAAGGCAGCUCUCUGGGACGGUACUGACGCUGAGACGCGAAAGCGUGGGGAGCGAACAGG
rnacentral:rRNA from 1 species